UACGUAGGGAGCAAGCGUUGUCCGGAAUCAUCGGGCGUAAAGCGCGCGUAGGCGGCCCGAUAAGUCCGUUGUGAAAGUCAAAGGCUCAACCUUUGAAAGCCGAUGGAUACUGUGAAGCUAGAGUACGGAAGAGGCGAGUGGAAUUCCUGGUGUAGCGGUGGAAUGCGCAGAUAUCAGGAGGAACACCAAUAGCGAAGGCAGCUCGCUGGGACGUUACUGACACUGAGACGCGAAAGCGUGGGGAGCAAACAGG
rnacentral:rRNA from 1 species